rnacentral:piRNA from 1 species
UAACGAUAAAUUGUGGUGGGAUAUUGU